rnacentral:rRNA from 1 species
GAUGAACGCUGGCGGCGUGCCUAACACAUGCAAGUCGAGCGAUCUUCUUCGGAAGAGAGCGGCGGACGGGUGAGUAACGCGUGGGUAACCUGCCCUGUACACACGGAUAACAUACCGAAAGGUAUGCUAAUACGAGAUAAUAUACUUUUAUCGCAUGGUAGAAGUGUCAAAGCUCCGGCGGUACAGGAUGGACCCGCGUCUGAUUAGCUAGUCGGUAAGGUAACGGCUUACCAAGGCGACGAUCAGUAGCCGACCUGAGAGGGUGAUCGGCCACAUUGGAACUGAGACACGGUCCAAACUCCUACGGGAGGCAGCAGUGGGGAAUAUUGCACAAUGGGCGAAAGCCUGAUGCAGCAACGCCGCGUGAGCGAUGAAGGCCUUCGGGUCGUAAAGCUCUGUCCUCAAGGAAGAUAAUGACGAUACUUGAGGAGGAAGCCCCGGCUAACUACGUGCCAGCCGCCGCGGUAA